CGGUCGCCUGGCACGCGGCGGGCCUCGAGACCGCGCGGGGUCCGGGCUUCUGGGCUGAGCAGCGCCGGCGGCGGCGGGUGAGUGCUCGUCCCGGGCAGGGUGGGCUCGGAGCCCGCCGCCCGCGGUCGCCUCAAGCCUGUACUGCGCUGUGGGAAGUUUGUGCUUCAAGUGGCUUCUUGCUCGGUCCUGUUCCUGAGUGCGCCGCGAUCAUUGGGGCUGCCGGGGCCGGGGUCUCCCCCAGGGCUGCCCACCCCAGGAGCCACAGCCAGGCUUCCGCAAUCGAAUUGUGUUUCUCUUGACACUUGUCACUUUUAUUUCUACCCUCCCCCUCCAGGGUGGAUCUCCGGUGAGCGGAGACAUCCCAAAUUGCAGGGAAAUACUGGGGAGAAAAGUCCCCCCGGAGGAGCAGGGUCAGUAAUUGUCCGCUAAUGAUGACUGACAUCUGUAAGGCAUUGGCAUGGACCACAAUGAGAAAUACGGUUCGGUCGCCGAUUACAAAGUAGCAAAGAGCAGGCGACUGACUGAGGGCUGCUGGGCGAAAGAUGGAUCCCUGUGAAGAUGUAGAAAGGUCCAGUGGUAAAUCUGAGAACCCCAGGGUGAACCAGCGUCAUGAACUUGAAGGACAACAGGCCAGUGGUCCUGAGGCCCCCGAGAAUGAUGCUGCUGAGCUAUGGAGCCAGAAAUGCGAGCUGCGGAGCAAAUUCGUGCAGACCACCAACAGUGAACAGCAGAAUCGAAACAGAGUUUCUGAAGAACUUAUAAUGGUUGUCCAAGAAAUGAAAAAAUACUUCCCAUCGGAAAGACAUGGUAAACCAAACACACUGGAUGCCCUUAACUAUGCCCUUCUCUGCGUACACAGUGUACAAGCAAACAAUGAGUCUUCCCAGAUUCUCAGUCAGAACGGAGCACCUCAAGGUGAUGUGACCUUGUGCAGUCUGGAGGAGCUGGCCACUAUUGCUUCAGGUCACACUUCCAAAACCACAGGUACCUUUGUGGCAGUGUUUUCAUUUCUCUCUGGAAGGUUAGUGCACAUUUCUGAACAGGCUCCUUCGAUCCUGAAUUGUCAGAAAGAGUUCUUGGAGUCUUGUCAUUUUGUUGAACUGCUUGCCCCCCAAGACAUGAGGGUGUUCUACACGCACACUGCCCAUGCUCAGCUUCCGUUCUGGAACAACUGGACACAAAGAGAGGCCUCACAGUACGAAUUGGCACCAGUGAAGUCCUUCUUCUGCAGGAUCGGCGGAGGUGAAGCUGGGGAGCCGCAGCGGCCUUACUGCCCAUUCCGGAUCACCCCCAACUUGAUUCACGUGCACAGCUCGGCCCUCAUGGAGCCUGAGCCCUGCUGUCUCUUGCUGGCGGAGAAGAUUCACUCGGGUUACCAAGCUCCUCAAAUCCCAGCAGAUAGAAGAAUUUUUACCACAACACAUACUCCUGGUUGUGUUUUUCUUGAAAUAGAUGAAAGGGCCGUGCCUUUCCUGGGUUACCUACCUCAGGACCUGAUCGGGACAUCCAUCCUAGCAUACCUGCACCCAGAAGAUCGCCCUCUGAUGCUUGCCGUGCACCAAAAAGUCUUGAAGUAUGCAGGCCAUCCUCCCUUUGAGCACCUGCCCAUUAGAUUUUGUUGUCAAAAUGGGGAUUACGUCAUACUGGACUCCAGUUGGUCCAGCUUCGUGAACCCAUGGAGCCGGCAGGUUUCUUUCAUCAUUGGUCGCCAUAUAGUGCGAACGAGUCCACCAAACAAGGAUGUUUUUGCCACCAGAGUGAAAAAGCCUGUUCACGGGAGCAAGUCCGGCGGCUACGGGAGCCUGGGGAGCAGCAGGUCACAGGAGCCUCAGGUCAGCCUUGCGUCCUCCAGUGAGUCCAGCGGGCACGGCGUGGAUGAGGUGCCGGAGGCACCGUUGACUUUGCAGCAGAUCUGUGCCAGUGUGAACAAGGUCAAGAAUCUAGGUCAGCAGCUCUACGUCGAGUCAAGGACCAAGUCAGCAAACAAGCCAGUGUUGGGAACCGGCUCACGACGGCCUGGGGAUGAGCAGAAGACCUCCUCUUCCUUCCAGACAGUGAAAAAUAAUAGCAUCUACACUGAGUCCUGUGAGGAUUUGAGAAAGGUUCAGCGUAGCCCAUCCUAUCAGCAGAUAAACUGUAUUGAUAGUGUUAUCAGGUACCUGAAGAGCUACCACAUCCCAGUUUUGAAGAGGAAGUGUAUCUCCUCUACAAAUACAACUUCCUCAUCCUCAGAAGAGGACAGACAAAGCCACAGAGCAGAUGACAUCCAGGCACUGCAAGCUGUUUCUCAGAUCCCAGCUGUACCUGCAUCAGAAAUGCCCACUAAGGGACAGUCCACAGAUGCUGAAGGAGGAGCUCCGUGGACCCUGAGCACAGUGACUCUGAGCCUGGACACCAGCCAGUGCAGCUCCAGCAGUGUCCUUGUCGACAUCCCACCACCAGACUCAGAGGAAUUGACUCCAGCAGAGCACAUACCGUUGGCCUGUGAGCCCUGGACUCUCAGCACACACCCAGCUCCACUGGCCGCAGAAGCGUUUAAACACUCGGGGCUCACAAAGGCUGUGCUGUCAGCCCACACACAGAAGGAAGAGCAGAGCUAUGUAGAUAAAUUCCGGGAGAAGAUUCUGUCGUCACCCUAUAGCUCCUAUCUUCAGCAGGAAAGCAGAAGCAAAGCUAAAUAUUUGUAUGUUCAAGGAGGUUCUGCUUCCAGGCCGACACGAUCAGCUGGUUGCAAAAAGGGGAAACACAAGCGAAAGAAGCCUCUCGUGUGGUCGGAUGACAGGAGCGCCAAGGAUCACUUCUGUCCCCACCAGGAUGGACAGCCCUGGUGCCCCUCGUCCGCCUCCUGUCCCCAUGCCUCUGGCCCCUCGCUCCCAGCUACAGUGAUGGUUCCCAGCCCAGCCCCUUGCCUCGUCCCAGCUCUUCCCCUCCCAGCCACGACCUCCCUUGGCAGAGAACAUGAAGCCUUGAUAACUGUACUGCCAAGGCUGCCUGAGCCACCUUUGCCUAGCAGCCUGCAGUAUUUCCCAGCUCUGCCUUCUGCUUACUUCGACACUUUUGUGAACAUCUUCCUGCAUGACCCCUCUCUCUCUCCCCUCUCGUCACUGUCAUUCUCCCCAUAUCCCUUCUUGGGAGCAGCACCCUCUUCCGAAAUACUCUCUUCAGUAUCAGCAGUGGCUCCAAACCCGGGCCCACUGUCUUCAACCAUCAACCCAAGGAGCAGAGAGGAGAAGUGGGAGACACGGAAUGAAGGACACCCCCUCAUCAACUCAGGGAGCAGCUCCAUGCUCCAGCUUGACCUCCUGCAGGAGGACAGGCCCCGAUCCUGUGCAUCCCCAGAAACUGUGUGUGGUGUCCGUGGCAGCAGUGGGACUGAGAUAGAUGGUUUUACUAUCAAGAAACCAUCCAUAGCAUCACUGCACUCGGUGUCUCCGCCAGGAACGGGCCCUGCAGCAUCAGGAAGCAGUGGCAGCAGUAUAAACUUUGCUCCUAGUGAUGAUUCUUCAGAAAUCUCUGAAAAUGGGCAGCAAUCUCAGGACAUACAGGAAAAAGGAACGUUUCCUAAGUUAGCUGAAGAGUCCAUCUGGAGAAUGAUAAAGCAGACACCUGACCACAUUCUCAUGACGUAUCAGGUGCCUGAGAGGGUUAAAGAAAUUGUACUGAAAGAAGACCUAGAGAAGCUGGAAAGCAUGAGACGGCAGCAGCCACAGUUUUCUCGAGGGCAAAGGGAGGAGAUAGCCAACGUGCAUUCUUGGAUUCACAGCCAGGCGAUCCCCCGGGAAAUAGACACCCAGGGCUGUGUCACCUGCGGACACAGAGACUCAGCUGGUGAUGCUGCAGACCCCAUGGUCCGGAUCCAACAGAAGCAGCAGCCGAGUGACUCUGAAGGACCUGCACUGCCUCCCCAGACCUGUUGGACUGCUCCUCCUCCCUGUGAUUCUCUCUGAACCCUUGCAGCUUAAGUGACCAGGAAGCUGUCAUUGAAUGUUAAGGCUUUCCCUUCUUGAUUUUUUUAGCAGACAUCUUUUUCCUGAAGCAGACAUUGUAUAUAGAUUCUUUCACUCCUCUUUUUUCCCAAUGUAUUUAAACUGGCGAAUAGACUCUUUUUCUAGUUUAUUAGCUGUCCUCUAAUGAGACUGGAUGGCCUCUAAAGAGGAGGUCUCUCCGUCCCUGCCAGAGGUCUGAUGGCCACUGUCUUCUCUCUGCCCCUGAAUAAAGGAAAAUGCUUCUCCCUUUCAAGUUUUAUAGCUUUUUAUAAAAUGCUAUAAUCAUAUAAUCAUAAUCAGGAGAAUCGACCUUUCUAUCCAUGAUGCUGCUGGACCCUGACCUGAGACUCAAGCCCUCAGCUUAGAUUUACUUUCUAAAGUAGAACAGUUGGCCCUUGGUAUCUGCAGGGUGAAAUCCAGGAACACUCAACGUCCCUUCUAUAACAGGAAGGUUCGCCAGCCCUCUGUACCUGUGGGUUCUGCAUCCAGAGUUCUCUACCCUCCCCAACUCUUCCCACCUCGAUCACAGGGGCCGGCUGUAGUUUCCAGAAUGUACUUCUUUCUUAUAACUGUCGGAACCACUUUGAAACGAUGACUGUGACUUUUCUAGAAUUUUCUCACUUGAAGCCAUUCCAUGCCCAUAUUCCUAUCUUAGGCUUAGAGAACUCUCCUGUUCUGAUCCAUCUUGAUGGUUAAAUGAUCUCUGAAGCCCUCAUUGCUUUGGUCAAGUUGUGUGAUAUUUUUGCCCUUGGUGAAAAAUCAAAUUUUAAACAGUGAACCAGCCUGGAUAUUGUCAUGGAUAGAAUCAUUGCAGCCUUCUGUGCUGAUGACCGUUUUAAUCUGUGUAAAUCAGAAAUGACACGGAGCCAUCAGAGGACCAUUCUGCAUGUCCGUAUGCACUUUUUAAACAUGACCUUCUCUAGUACAAGCCCUCUUUCAGAUUUCUUUCUGGAUGUUUGUUUUAUUGACAUUUAACUGUUUCUUUGCGUUACUACACAUUUAGGCGCAAAAUUGGUGCUUGUUGUAAGCAGAUCUAUAAAACCAGUUAUAGUUUUGGUGUUUUGGUAAAUAGCUGAGCUGGUAUAUUUUAAAAUGACCAUAAUGCUUCUGCUUCUGGGGAUGAGCAGAGAAGGCUCAACAGUGCUGGCUUCUCCCCACCGCAGGGGCUCCACCCAACUAUAAACCAUCAUUGAAGUUUAGUAACUUUUUGUAUUGAUGCCUGUGGAAAUCAGUAAUAAAAAUGUGUACUACAGGUUUCCGUGUUUACGUAAAUGUUACCAAAAGGCUGUGUUUUUUUGGAAAAGAGGUCAGAAUUUAUCAACAGAUGCUGUGUGAAUGGAAUCAUUUUACAAUUAAGUACAACUUCAUCAUAACUCGAAAGGUAAAUUUAAUCCAAAUGGAAAUUUUGUACCAGCUAAGUUUAUCAUUUUGUGGAUUUCCCUGUUUUUAAUGGUUAUUAAUAUUUUAAUCGGGUAUCUUUUUUAAAAACAAUAAACAGUGAACAUGUAAAGCUUGAGAAGUUUUCUUGCACUGCAUGAACAAACCUUUGCCCCGAAUACAUAAAUCGCUUAUAUCAUUGAGAAGUAUUUCCUGAGAUUGAAACACACU